GAAGAUACGCGCAGAACCUUACCAACACUUGACAUGUUCGUCGCGACUNUAAGAGAUUAGAGUUUUCGGUUCGGCCGGACGAAACACAGGUGCUGCAUGGCUGUCGUCAGCUCGUGUCGUGAGAUGUUGGGUUAAGUCCCGCAACGAGCGCAACCCUCACUUUUAGUUGCCAUCAUUAAGUUGGGCACUCUGAAAGAACUGCCAGUGAUAAGCUGGAGGAAGGUGGGGAUGACGUCAAGUCCUCAUGGCCCUUACGUGUUGGGCUACACACGUGCUACAGUGGUAUCUACAACAGGAAGCAAGACUGCGAAGUUAAGCAAAUCCCUAAAAGAUACCUCAGUUCGGAUUGCACUCUGCAACUCGAGUGCAUGAAGCUGGAAUUACUAGUAAUCGUGGAUCAGCGUGCCACGGUGAAUGCGUUCCCGGGUCUUGUACACACCGCCCGUCACACCAUGGGAGUUGGUUCUACCUUAUGGCAAGGUUUCAAACCCUUGACCACGGUAUAGUCAGCGACUGGGGUGAAGUCGUAACAAGGUAGCC
rnacentral:rRNA from 1 species